UGAGCAUUUCCUUUUCCUCUCCUGGUACUA
rnacentral:piRNA from 1 species